CAAAGAGUAGUUUAUUUAAAAUACUAGUUUUGGAUACUAGAGAAAGUCCUUACUCUCCUUGA
rnacentral:tRNA from 1 species